UUGAAUGAAACUAGACUUAGAUAUGUUCUAUUUUUCUUCUCCAAAACCUAAAAACCCUUCCUUCUCACCUUCAAUCCCCCCCUCUCUCUCUUCCACCAAAUCAAAAUAUGAAAUUUUCUCUCUUCCCUUAGCAGAAAUCUCCUUUCUCCUCUUCUCUCUGUCGCAAGCUCCUUCGUUUAAUCUGAAACAGUGAUUCAUCGUAGAUGAUUCCUCUGACCGGGAAGACUCCGGUGAAGUUGAGAAAAACUCAUUCAAAGUGCCUUUGGAUACUAUGAAAGAUCUGGAGAAGGAAUUAUCGGUCAAGUAAUUAACUGUCCGCAGCUGAGAGAGAUUUCACUUGAAUUUUCUUGCCAAGAAAAUGACAGCAUUGAUCUCAUAACUAUAAUUGGCAUGAUGUUGCAAUGUUUAUGAACUAUAGAGUUCUAAGCACAGGGGAACUUGUAAGAUUCUUUUAUAUGUUUGGCUGUUAAGAAAUUGAGUUGCUGCUCUAAAUUUUUAAUUAAUAUAAGGGCAAUAGUUCCUUUCAUGCCUGCAAUGCCUUAUUUUACUUCAAAUACCUAUUUUUGUAUUUAAUUCUUUUUGUUUGUGCUUAAAACAUGGUGGCUGACUAUUAAGCUUGUUUUUUUUCUUUCAUGUGAUUAGCCACACAUGUUGAAAUCUCAUCUGUUAUAAAAGUUUGUACUCUAUGCUGUUUUGAACUCUUAGUUUGUAUGAAUUUAUAAUGUUUUUAACUUUCUAUUUGUAUGUAUUUGCACUAUCUUUUGUAUGAUAAGUAAAGGAAGAGGCAAUGGUAGAGGAAGGGCUUCCUCUCAUCCACCUACAACUUCACCAUCCAUUCCCAUUGAUGUGUAUCAUUGGAAGAAGCUAAAAUUGAGGCACUUCAAGAAAAGAAUAUUGAAUAAGAAAAAAUGAAGCAUAAAAGGGAUGAAAAUGAUACGAACAAGAAAGAAUGAAGCAAAAUAUGGAAGAAUGAGAUCGAAUGUUCAAGUGUCAUGCUAUAAAGUAAUUUUAGAACCUUCUCACAUGAAAGUACAAGUGAGAGUGAUGAUGCUAAUGCGUAUGGGUGAAUAUGAUUUGUGCCCUUUGCAUUAUUUUUUAUGUCACAUUUUGAUUAACUUAAUGUGAUAUUAUGGUCGAGAAACAAAUUUAUGUUUAAGUGUUAUUUUCACAUUUUGCUGAGUUGAUGUUAUUAUUGUGGUCGUGAACAAACUUAUGUUGGUCACUAAAUGUAGGAACUUCAUUUUUUUGUGAUUGAAUAUUAUGUAAUUCAAUUGAUUUCAGUA